rnacentral:rRNA from 1 species
UAAUUGAAGAGUUUGAUCAUGGCUCAGAUUGAACGCUGGCGGCAGGCCUAACACAUGCAAGUCGAGCGGUAACAGGAGAAAGCUUGCUUUCUUGCUGACGAGCGGCGGACGGGUGAGUAAUAUAUGGGGAUCUGCCCGAUAGAGGGGGAUAACUACUGGAAACGGUGGCUAA